AGCAGUCGCCGCGGGAAUACGGAGGGUGCAAGCGUUAUCCGGAUUUAUUGGGUUUAAAGGGUCCGUAGGCGGAUCUGUAAGUCAGUGGUGAAAUCUCACAGCUUAACUGUGAAACUGCCAUUGAUACUGCAGGUCUUGAGUAAAUUUGAAGUGGCUGGAAUAAGUAGUGUAGCGGUGAAAUGCAUAGAUAUUACUUAGAACACCAAUUGCGAAGGCAGGUCACUAAGAUUUAACUGACGCUGAUGGACGAAAGCGUGGGGAGCGAACAGGAUUAGAUACCCCGCGUAGUCCCUGUCUCUUAUA
rnacentral:rRNA from 1 species